AGUGGCGACGGGUGAGUAACACGUGGGCAAUCUGCCCUGCACUCUGGGAAAGCCCUGGAAACGGGGUCUAAUACCGGAUAACACCCCCUGGGCAUGGGAGGGGGUUGAAAGCUCCGGCGGUGCAGGAUGAGCCCGCGGCCUAUCAGCUUGUUGGUGAGGUAGAAGGUCACCAAGGCGACGACGGGUAGCCGGCCUGAGAGGGCGACCGGCCACACUGGGACUGAGACACGGCCCAGACUCCUACGGGAGGCAGCAGUGGGGAAUAUUGCACAAUGGGCGAAAGCCUGAUGCAGCGACGCCGCGUGAGGGAUGACGGCCUUCGGGUUGUAAACCUCUUUCAGCAGGGAAGAAGCGAAAGUGACGGUACCUGCAGAAGAAGCGCCGGCUAACUACSUGCCAGCAGCCGCGGUAAUACGUAGGGCGCAAGCGUUGUCCGGAAUUAUUGGGCGUAAAGAGCUCGUAGGCGGCUUGUCACGUCGGUUGUGAAAAGCCCGGGGCUUAACCCCGGGUCUGCAGUCGAUACGGGCARGGCUAGAAGUGUGGUARGGGGAGAUCGGAAUUCCCUGGUGUAGCGGUGAAAUGGCGCAGAUAUCAGGAGGAAACACCGGUGGGCGAAAGGCGGGAUCUUCUUGGGCCAUUUACUGACGCUGAGGGAGCGAAAGCGUGGGGGAGCGAAACAGG
rnacentral:rRNA from 1 species